rnacentral:lncRNA from 1 species
AUUCUCCUUUGCUCACAUUUCAUGAAAAUGACAAUGAGGGGGAUCAGAGCAGAACACUCCCCACACACGAAGGCGCUCACACCGAAUGGAGGAGAUGCAUGGAGGCAGCCAGCUCCUCAGGAUCCUCCCACAGCCUCACUCAGAUGCAGGUAAAAUCCAUUCCACAUGGAAACUUCAGAGAGCAGAAGAAUCACUGUAAAUGCUGGCCUCGGGGAAUUUGUGCUUCCUACAACUUUUAAGGCAGAAGUAUUCAAAGGCCACGUACUCAGAUAAGACCCAAC